rnacentral:rRNA from 1 species
CCGCUCGAUGUCUGGGGCUGCACGCGCGUUACACUGAUAAAUGCAACAAGUCUUUUUUUUACCUAGCCCUUUUGGGUUUGGGCAAUCUCUAGAAAAUUUAUCGUGAUGGGGAUUGUGCCUUGCAACUAUUGCACAUGAACGAGGAAUUCCUAGUAAGGGCAAGUCAUCAACUUGUCCUGAUUACGUCCCUGCCCUUUGUACACACCGCCCGUCGCUUCUACCGAUUGAAUUGCUCGAUGAGGACUCGGGAUGCGAAGAUGUCUACUCCGCAAGGAGAAAGGUUUUUGCAGAACCUGUUCGAAUCUCGUAAUUUAGAGGAAGAAGAAGUCGUANCA